rnacentral:snRNA from 1 species
GCUACUUCUCUGCAUUUUGGCUAAGAUCAAGUAUAACGCCUGUUCUUACCAGUUUAUCAUUGGAAACGUCCCCUACCUGGUGACCAUAUAUUAAACCGAUUUUUUGGAACAUUACGAGAAUAAAUUCAUGAUAUUACCAGAACAAUGCCGAAAUAUUAGAGUAAAGUUG